ensembl:snRNA U7 U7 small nuclear RNA
AAAUGUUACAGCUCUUGUAGAAUUUUUCUAGUAGAUUUUCUGGUUUUUAUUGGGAAACCACA